rnacentral:lncRNA from 1 species
CCACUUCCACCUUUUUAGCUUCAUAUUCUUGCUUUAUCCCAACCUAGCUUGAGGAUGAGGGUAUCACCUUCCCACACCAGUAGUUGGGGUUACCCUCAAGAAGACAUCAUCCCUAGAUGCAAACUCCAAAUGUCUUCUUCUAUAAUAACAUAAGACUUUUUUCGACUCUUCAAUGCCUUCAUCCUCUUUUGUAUCUUCUUCAACUUCUUCGUAGUUUGCUUAAAAAAAUUAGGCCCCAUCAGAGCUACCUCUCCAUUAUGAUAC